rnacentral:lncRNA from 1 species
AUAAUACGAGUUUUAACUUUCAUUCAUCUCUCAACAAUUCUUUUUAAAUUAUUUAAAAAAAGGAUUUUACAUGUUUCACACAAAGCAGAAGAGCGAUGAAGAUUCUUACCUUUUUCCUCUUAUUGUGUCUAAUGUCGUUGACUAAAAUUUAUAUUCUUUUACUUAAAGUUCUUUUUUUUUCCUAUCAAUACGUUCGCAGUAUGAAAAAUCUAGAGGUGAUACGAUUAGUAUUUCAAAAGAAAUAAUUGAUUAGCUGUGUGAAUUGUGUCACACAUCAUGCACACGACCUCAUAUGAUUUUUUAAAAACUAUCCUUUCAUCG